ACUCCUGCGGGAGGCAGCAGUGGGGAAUAUUGGACAAUGGGCGCAAGCCUGAUCCAGCCAUGCCGCGUGAGUGAUGAAGGCCCUAGGGUUGUAAAGCUCUUUUGUGCGGGAAGAUAAUGACGGUACCGCAAGAAUAAGCCCCGGCUAACUUCGUGCCAGCAGCCGCGGUAAUACGAAGGGGGCUAGCGUUGCUCGGAAUCACUGGGCGUAAAGGGUGCGUAGGCGGGUCUUUAAGUCAGGGGUGAAAUCCUGGAGCUCAACUCCAGAACUGCCUUUGAUACUGAAGAUCUUGAGUUCGGGAGAGGUGAGUGGAACUGCGAGUGUAGAGGUGAAAUUCGUAGAUAUUCGCAAGAACACCAGUGGCGAAGGCGGCUCACUGGCCCGAUACUGACGCUGAGGCACGAAAGCGUGGGGAGCAAACAGGAUUAGAAACCCCAGUAGUCCCAUGAU
rnacentral:rRNA from 1 species